GACGGAGGGUGCUAGCGUUGUCCGGAAUUAUUGGGCGUAAAGAGCUCGUAGGCGGUCUGUUGCGUCGGCUGUGAAAACCCGGGGCUCAACCCCGGGCCUGCAGCCGAUACGGGCAGACUAGAGUUCGGCAGGGGAGACUGGAAUUCCUGGUGUAGCGGUGAAAUGCGCAGAUAUCAGGAGGAACACCAACGGCGAAGGCAGCUCGCUGGGACGGUACUGACGCUGAGGCGCGAAAGCGUGGGGAGCAAACAGG
rnacentral:rRNA from 1 species